ACUGAAGCAAACAGGAUUAAACAAAGCAUGUUUAUGUUAUACCUGUGAAGUAAAUAUUCCUUUCUGAAAAUUAAUCUCACUGCUAAGGUUAGAAAAAUCUGGGGAGCUAAGGAACCUUAAAACUGAAGCCACACAAUCAAUCGGAGCUCAGCAUCAAACAGCAAAUAAAUGUCUGAGGUUGGAACUGAACUCAGAAAGAUGAGUUUUCUGACUCCAGGCCUGCCAUUCUAGGAACAGAGAGAAGUGACUUGUCCAGGAUUACGCAGCCAGUACGUGGAAGAAGUGAGAUUCAAAGCCAGAUCCAUUAACUCCAAACCAAUUUAUGAUCCAGGGAGCCCCAUGGCCCCGGGGAUGUGAGUGAAGUAACCAUGAAGUAUUCCUGGCUCAUGAUGAGCACCAAAAGGGAGUUAAUAGUAGAUUUCCAGGAAGCAGAGCAUUUCGGGGACCAAGUUGCCAAGCCCUCGGGGAAGAGUUCCUGGACCAAGCUCAUGGUUCCUGUGGAUUAGCUCCUGGCCCUCCUGGUAGGGAAGUUUCUGGACAAAACACAGAAAUGGCUCAGCCCACUGGGAGUUCUUUCCUUGGACCUCCGGCACCGUCAGCCCCACAUUUCCAGCAAUCCCGUCAGGCCGAGCAGGGGACGCAGUGAUUCUCCUGUGGCUGUCUUCUUCUCCUUGGGAAAGCCCCACACCAUUUACUGCAGUUCACCCACUUGCCGCUGAGAUAUUAAUGUACUUCAGGGGUCAGUGGAGCUCAACUACCAAAGCUGUUAAUAGGCCAAAGCAAUUCCAAUUUCAUGCCUACAUGGGCUUUCCUCCAUUAAGGGAAGAAGAGAGAAGAAAUCACAUUUUAUUUCUUUUGUGAAGUAGGCUGGCUUCUGGAGGCCGCAGCAGUCCUGUCACCGGGCAGCAGAGGGGGCCCACAGCUCGCAGAAGGAGCCCCAACCUGAUGCUGGGGAAGGAGGAAGUAGGAGGCACGGGGAGGGUUGCCCUGUGGAGUUGUCACAGAAUCCUAGAGCCUCUAAGUUGGCAAGGUCCUUGAAGGACAUCCUCAUUCAGAGGACCUGAAUUUAAGUGUCAGCUCCGCUCUUUACCAGGGUGAACAUAAAUAUGUCACUUUAUUUCUUUAAGCCUUCAUUUUCCAUCUGUAAAAUGGGUUUAGGUGAUUUUUAUGGUCUUUUCCAAUUCUAAAUCUCAAUCAAGCAGCAACAUGGUAUAAAAAGAAAAACUUGACUUCCAGUCCUGCUUCUGAUUUCCUACUGGCUAAGUGACAUUGGGCAACUAAUUUACCCUCACGGUGGCCCAAGCAACUUUCUAGGACAAUAUGUUGCAGUGCAGUCCAUCUGAGAAAGUCCCCUCUCUGGGGAAGUAUAAUGACAAUUAAAAUCACAAAGCCAACUCAAUACAUAUUGGGUCUGAUACAUCCUGUGGGAACAGGGUUGAG